rnacentral:rRNA from 1 species
CCAAGGAAGGCAGCAGGCGCGCAACUUACCCUAAUCUCGAUUCGAGGAGGUAGUGACAAGAAAUACCGAUGCGGGACCUACGGGUGCCGCGUUCGGAAUGAGUACGAUUCGAACCACCUAACGAGGAACGAUCGGAGGGCAAGUCUGGUGCCAGCAGCCGCGGUAAUUCCAGCUCCAAUAGCUUACGUUAAAGUUGCUGCAGUUAAAAAGCUCGUAGUUGAACGUUCGGGUUCCGCGGGACGGGGCCGCCCCGCGAGGGACGGCGCCGCCCCGGGGCUCGUGAUAUCUCAUCUCGCCGCCCGUCGCGAGGCGGACGGAGGGAUGGAUGAGGUUACCUGGAAAAAUCGGGGCGAUCUAGGCGGGCGAACCUCGCCAACGAACGAUCGGACAUGGGAUAACGGAAGAGGGCGUCGGCUCGACUUCGUCGGUUCCUCGGGCCGAGGCACGUACGGUGAAUAGGGACGGUCGGGGCCGCCCGUACCGGGUCGUGAGAGGUGAAAUUCUAGGAUCGACCCGAGACGAACCGCCGCGAAAGCAUUCGGCAAGGACGCUUUCAUUAAUCAAGAACGAAAGUCGGGG